UGUCUAGGCAACAUUGGGACGUCCCAGAGCUGCGUAUGCUUCCAAUAAGCCUCGGCCUCCCAAUUCUUUAUCCAGAUAACCCCAAUACUGCCUCAUACUACGCCAGCGUGGACAUCGACCACCACUCUAACUCCAACUCGGUGCCCGGUUGUGCAAUGAUGGACUGUGUAGGUGGCAGGCCAUCCAUGAAGUAACAUCUAUAUGUCGUCCGGAUGAGUGUUCAUGAUUUGCCAGCUCUAUUUCAUCGAUCACUGCACGAAAGGGGAUUGAGCUCUUCCUCUAAAUAAGGGUAUAUAGCUAACUAGGCAUAUACCUGAGGAGUUCAUGUGAUAGGCUGGAAUGACAAGUACCCCAAGUCACGACGAGGACGCAUAGCAGACAAGUUUCAUGGUCCAUCAAGUCGACUGAACGCUUCGCCUUCUGAAGCUGACAUUCAUCUUGUCGCGAAUGGAUCUUAGGAGUAGCCCAUGGUAUUAUAUCCUAUAUCUUAAGUAGGGCAUCAUAUUUUCUUCCACUAUUGGAUGAUUGUCUCUACCUUAGACAAAUCAUGACCCACGAAGAGGCGCUAUGUAACAUCAUGAGACUGAGUCAACGCUAUUUUCUCUUAACUUAGAUCAGCACCCUGCGUGCUUGGAUUACCUGCACAUUGUACAAUGCGUUUCGUAUAGCUUGAUCAAUUGGGGUUAAACUGGCAUGGAUGAUAUCCGUUACUUG
rnacentral:sRNA from 1 species